rfam:Oryza nivara chromosome 6, whole genome shotgun sequence.
AAAAAGACAAACCAUGGGUUUCCGUGUCCAACGUUUGACUGUCCGUCUUCUAUGAAAUUUUUUAUAAUUAGUAUUUUUAUCGUUGUUAGAUGAUAAAACAUGAUUAAUACUUUUUAUGUGACUUGUCUUUUUAAUUUUUUUCAUAAUUUUUUCAAAUAAGACGGACGGUCAAACGUUGGACACGGAAACCCAGGGUUUGUCUUUUU